GCCAUUGUGAGCCCUGAAGCUGGGAAUGUUACCUGCCCAAAAGACUGGAUUGCAUUUGGACGUAAAUGUUUUUAUUUGUCUGAAAACACAAGUAACUGGAGAUCCAGCCAGACCUCCUGCAUGGAGCAGGUGGCCCAUCUAACUCACUUUGACAAUCUGGAGGAGCUGGAUUUCCUGAAUAGAACAUAUGGGCAUUCUGCUGCGUGGAUCGGACUGCACAGAGAGUCAUCAGAGCAGCCUUGGAUGUGGACAGACAACACUGAAUAUAACAACUUGACACUCAUCCGAGGAGUUGGAAACCAUGCCUACCUGAGUG